UUUGUGGGAACAAUGUGAGACGACUGAAUGCCUUAAAACAUGUCCAUCUUUGUUUCAAAUAUUUGACGAGGCAGUGGUGAGUAAAUUAGAUUGUUUGCAUGGUAAUCUGAAUCUGUCCAUUCACAUGCGUUAUACCUGUUCUGUUAUGCUUAUGAUUGGACUACAAGCUUGUUUCCGUUGCUAUUUACUAUCUCAUGGCUAUUCUUUUCAGUGGACUCAAUUGCCAUUAGUCCCGUUCGAUAGAGGAAAGUCGAGUUCAUUUGAUUUUUCAGAUUCGAGGAUGAAUCUUUUUGAGGAAGGGGGAAUGAUACGAGUCACAAAAGCCCAAAUUCUUGAAGGCGAGGCCCAAUAAGCAAAUUCCCAGCCCAAUCAAGAAAUCCAUCCAUACUUAGUUGAAAAUCAGGCCAAAUUGUCAAAGUGGCCCAAGUUGUAAAGUUUUAUUUUUAUUUUUAUUUAUUUAUUUAUUUAUUUACUUAUUUUAAAUUUUUAUGUCAAUAUUCAGUCCAAGAGUCCCAGAUAAAAUGACCUUUGACCGAAUUUCCAUAUUAAAAUAAUUAGGAGUUUUUUUAUUUUAGUUUUCUAAUUAGAUUAGGACUAG
rnacentral:lncRNA from 1 species